GACGAACGCUGGCGGCGUGCUUAACACAUGCAAGUCGAACGAUGAAGAAAAGAAUCGAAGCUUCGGCAGAAAUUCAUUUCGGAUUAGUGGCAGACGGGUGAGUAACGCGUGAGCAACCUACCUCUUACAAAGGGAUAGCCUCGGGAAACCGGGAUUAAUACCAUAUAACAUUGUGACGAAGCAUUUCGAUGCAAUCAAAGCUACUGCGGUAAGGGAUGGGCUCGAGUCUGAUUAACCAGAUGGGGAGGUAAUGGCUCACCAUGGCGAGGAUCAGUAGCCGGUCCGAGAGGAUGAGCAGACACACUGGGACUGAGACACGGCCCAGACGCCUACGAGAGGAAGCAGGGGGGAAUUUUCCGAAAUGGGCGAAAGGUUGACGGAGCAAUGUCGCGUGGAGGUAGAAGGGCCACGGGUCGUGAACUUCUUUUGUAGGAGAAGAAACAAUGACGGUAGCUGAGGAAUAAGCAACGGCUAACUCUGUG
rnacentral:rRNA from 1 species